rnacentral:rRNA from 1 species
AGUGAACGCUGGCGGUAGGCCUAACACAUGCAAGUCGAACGGCAGCACAGUAAGAGCUUGCCCUUACGGGUGGCGAGUGGCGGACGGGUGAGGAAUACAUCGGAAUCUACUUUUUCGUGGGGGAUAACGUAGGGAAACUUACGCUAAUACCGCAUACGACCUACGGGUGAAAGCAGGGGAUCUUCGGACCUUGCGCGAUUGAAUUAGCCGAUGUCGGAUUAGCUAGUUGGCGGGGUAAAGGCCCACCAAGGCAACGAUCCGUAGCUGGCCUGAGAGGAUGAUCAGCCACACUGGAACUGAGACACGGUCCAGACUCCUACGGGAGGCAGCAGUGGGGAAUAUUGGACAAUGGGCGCAAGCCUGAUCCAGCCAUACCGCGUGGGUGAAGAAGGCCUUCGGGUUGUAAAGCCCUUUUAUUGGGAAAGAAAAGCAGCAGGUUAAUACCCCGCUGUUCUGACGGUACCCAAAGAAUAAGCACCGGCUAACUUCGUG